rnacentral:rRNA from 1 species
AGAAUGAACGCUGGCGGCGUGCUUUACACAUGCAAGUCGAGCGAGGCGGGGAGCAAUCCCCCAGUCGAGCGGCGAACGGGUGAGUAACGCGUGGAUAACCUACCUCGAGGUGGGGGAUAACCCCGGGGGAAACUCGGGCUAAUACCGCAUAUGACUGUGAGGUCAAAGGGGGCCGCAAGGCUCUCGCCAUGAGAGGGGUCCGCGUACGAUUAGCAGUUGGUAGGGUAAUGGCCUACCAAGGCGACGAUCGUUAGCCGGCCUGAGAGGGUGAUCGGCCACACUGGAACUGAGACACGGUCCAAACUCCUACGGGAGGCAGCAGUGGGAAUUUGCGCAAUGGGCAAAGCCUGACGCAGCAACGCGCGUGAGGAUGAAGGUCGUUGAUUGUAAACUACCUGUCAGACGAGGAAAAGGGAACCGAGCUCAUACGCUGUUCGUUUGUAUUGUACCU